UGCCAACUGGAGGUCAAGUGGAAUCUCAAUUACCCAAGAUAAUGAAUAUUUAAUUCGCAUAAAUAAAUGAGUAUUAGUUCAUUUUUUCUACUUCAUUGGUAACUUGAAUGGAGGACAUUAACAGCUGGGAAUGAACAACUGUCAGUUUCCUCAGUACAAUGAACUGGAAAAGGAACCCCAAAUUGGCAUCCUGAAGAGUCAGAGAUGACUGAACAACAACAACCAAUAUAUAAAGUACCUCCAGAUAUCCUCGAUCAAUAAUUUCCUCAAUUCUGGAAAUAUUGGGUACUUUGAAAUAGAACACUAUCUGACUGGUAUGUAUAUGUUAAGUGAAAGUCAGAGGAAAAGAAGACACACUUUUUUACCUAGGCGGAGAGAAAAGUGGCAUGUUAUAGUAACCAAAAGAUGGAAAAAACUGGGCAGAUUAAUAAAAAAUCCUCUUUAAAAUAUAUAUUUGCUUUUUACAAUAAACAUC